CGGGCAGAGCUCUGAGUCUCGCUAUUGCCGAGCAGGAGCCGUAUGAGCAGCGGAUAAUACACUCCAAGCAAAUCUGAGUGCCAGAUCGCUGGGUAAAGCCUAACAAUUACUGAAAGAAUGAACCAAAUUACUGAGUUCAGUUAAUCUCCAUUGUAGCGCCAGCGAUGUGAAGAGCUCUCUGCUUCCUGAGCACCUCGCAAAUCCAACCCAGCUGUGUCUGGCACCAGCAAAGUGCCUACCCACGUGGGGCCUCCGCCUCGGCGAGUCGAUAAAAUGAACGUAAAGCAGCUUCUUCAGAGCCAAAACAGCACUUGUUGACCUAAUUCUACCGAAAAAGGGUAAGAAAGCUCAGUUUGCUUUGGUCGCUGUUUCCGGUGAAGCAAGAGUUUGGAGAGUGCAAGCGGUGUCAGAACCGUGCUGUGCACAGCUGGGAACGAAGGCACCUCUCCAUGCAAAGCCAGCUCUCGGAUCCAAACCGAUGCAAAGGGAAAAGCUCCGUGCAGGGGGAACAUCGGGGCUGUCCUCGGGCAGGCGCAGCAGCAGCAUCAAGCACGGACCCGGACCUCUGGGUGCAGAAUGCGAUGUGCCUCAUUCAGCAGAGCAUUGCCCUACUUUUGUCCCGGAGUAAUUCUGCUGCGUGCCGCCGCAUUACAUCGCUGCAAAGCUCCAGCGGCGUGGAGGAGCAGAGCGGUGUUUCAGCAUGGAGAGAUAAACUCAGGUUCUGCCCACAGGCAUCCCAACAAUAUGGCACGAGAGGCAGCAGCCAUCCUUCCAUCCAUCCAUCCAUCCAUCCAUCCAUCCAUCCAUCCAUCCAUCCAUCCAUCCAUCCAUCCACCCACCCACCCGAGGGUGCUCCCACCGAGGGAGGCAGGCAUGAGGAACACCUCACUGCUGGAGAAUUUGGGUGGUGGGGCCACGUGCGCGCUCCCACACUGAGUC
rnacentral:lncRNA from 1 species